UCGACAUGGAGGAAGAGCGAGCGAGGGUGACGAUGUGAAGUUCGCUCGCUUGCUCGCUGUUUGUUACGUAGGAGGACGUGUCGCACUUGUGCAAGAGUAACACGCACAAGGCAGGGAGGCUGCAACGACAAAUCCUAAAAGGUUUUUAACACCGGGACAAUAUCUGAAUAUGAACGGACAGAGGAGAGGUCAGUGCUCCAGGAAAUGAAACGUAUUCCUCACCACAUUAGCUGGAGACACAACAAUAUAUGGAGAUAUUGGGAGCUAUUUGUUCAGCAGAUCAGUUAGAAAUAACGCAGGGAGGAACAGUACAAUAGUACAACCGCCACAGUGAUGAUGAGGUUUGAUGAAGAGCUGCAGACGACCAGCACACCUCCAACAGGUGUCUGGACUACUGUGAGCCUGGAGGACAGCGUGAGGAGCUCAAACAUCCAGAAAUAUAUUACUGCAUCUGAUCAUGAAGCCUCCCAGUUGAACGUAUUCUGGAGUAGACACACUGGAGGGAUUACAUAUUCCCUCUGGCCUGGGAUCCCUGCUACCACCACAGUCUGGACCUAGAUGAGGGGAUUUCCACACCAAGUUCAAAUUUGCGUCCAAGAUAUUUGCACAAAACCAAGCAGAUAGUUAAAUCCUGGUUUCUAUUACUUCUUGCACAUCAAAUAUGUCAUUUUAAUCUAAUAGAAAAUUCUCAAGCAAGUGUGUCACCUCAUGACCUCGCCAUGAUUGGCGGGAGCCAUUACUUCCUUUUCUUUUGUUAACAAACAAGAACAGCAAAACACCUUGAUCGGCGUUACCAUGGUUCCUGACCAGAUGCAUAAAAAGAAAACGAAAUAGAGCAUGAAGAAGUCUUGAAUCUGGUGUUCUUUGUUAUGUGUGAAAGUUAUGCACACACAUUUUUCAGAUUUCUGCAUCAGUAUGUCAGUUUGGACCCAGUGCACAGUGGCUUUAA